GGUAACCCAGGCAAAGAUUGGUCC
rnacentral:siRNA from 1 species